rnacentral:rRNA from 1 species
UACGGGGGGGUGCGAGCGUUGUCCGGAAUUAUUGGGCGUAAAGAGCUCGUAGGCGGUCUGUUGCGUCCGCUGUGAAAACUCGGGGCUUAACCCCGAGCCUGCAGUGGAUACGGGCAGACUAGAGGUAGGUAGGGGAGAAUGGAAUUCCCGGUGUAGCGGUGAAAUGCGCAGAUAUCGGGAGGAACACCGGUGGCGAAGGCGGUUCUCUGGGCCUUACCUGACGCUGAGGAGCGAAAGCGUGGGGAGCGAACAGG